CACACGACUCUCGGCAACGGAUAUCUCAGCUCUCGCAUCGAUGAAGAACGUAGCAAAAUGCGAUACCUGGUGUGAAUUGCAGAAUCCUGCGAACCAUCGAGUUUUUGAACGCAAGUUGCGCCCGAGGCCUUCUGGCUGAGGGCACGCCUGCCUGGGCGUCACGC
rnacentral:rRNA from 1 species